rnacentral:snRNA from 1 species
AGGUAAACUAACCAUGACAUCUGUCACCCCACUGAUCGCCAGAGUUGAUUACGCUGAUCUGCCUGGUGAGUUGGGUGCUUCCUUCCUCUUUCAUCACUCCAGAGCUGCAUGCUUGGUGAAAGAGAAUGACCACCCCAAUAGAGGAGAAACAGUUCCUUGGUCAAGUGUAUACAAGAAAGCGCACUCUGUUGCUAAAACCGCAAAACAACCUCUCAGAGUCAUAUGUUGAAGCCCUAAUGCCCAAUGUGGCUAUAUUUAGAGGUAGGAGUUUU